rnacentral:rRNA from 1 species
GAUGAACGCUGGCGGCGUGCCUAAUACAUGCAAGUCGAGCGAACAGACGAGGAGCUUGCUCCUCUGACGUUAGCGGCGGACGGGUGAGUAACACGUGGAUAACCUACCUAUAAGACUGGGAUAACUUCGGGAAACCGGAGCUAAUACCGGAUAAUAUAUUGAACCGCAUGGUUCAAUAGUGAAAGACGGUUUUGCUGUCACUUAUAGAUGGAUCCGCGCCGCAUUAGCUAUUUGGUAAGGUAACGGCUUACCAAGGCAACGAUGCGUAGCCGACUUGAGAGGGGGAUCGGCCACACUGGACCUGAGACACGGUCCAGAUCCUACGGGAGGCAGCAGUAGGGAAUCUUCCGCAAUGGGCGAAAGCCUGACGGAGCAACGCCGCGUGAGUGAUGAAGGUCUUCGGAUCGUAAAACUCUGUUAUUAGGGAAGAACAAAUGUGUAAGUAACUAUGCACGUCUUGACGGUACCUAAUCAGAAAGCCACGGCUAACUACGUG